AAAAAAACCUCUUCACUUUCAGGUCAUUUUCUGCUCAAGCUCGUCGUCUGCUUCAUCUACUUUCAUCUCUCAGGUCAUUUUCUUCUCAAGCUCUUCGUCUGCUUCAUCUACUUUCAUCUCUCAGGUCGUCAGCAGAUCUCAUAAACACGAUGGCUAGUUUUUGCUACCCUUGCAACGCAUAAAGAGCAGAAGCUAUUCUAAACCCUAGGGCUGUGUUUGCUUCACAGUAAUC